rnacentral:rRNA from 1 species
GACGAACGCUGGCGGCGUGCCUAAUACAUGCAAGUCGAGCGGUCCCUUCGGGGAUAGCGGCGGACGGGUGAGUAACACGUAGGCAACCUGCCUGUAAGACCGGAAUAACUAUCGGAAACGAUAGCUAAGACCGGAUAGCUGGUUUUCUCGCAUGAGAGAAUCAUGAAACACGGGGCAACCUGUGGCUUACAGAUGGGCCUGCGGCGCAUUAGCUAGUUGGUAGGGUAACGGCCUACCAAGGCGACGAUGCGUAGCCGACCUGAGAGGGUGACCGGCCACACGGGGACUGAGACACGGCCCAGACUCCUACGGGAGGAAGCAGUAGGGAAUCUUCCGCAAUGGACGCAAGUCUGACGGAGCAACGCCGCGUGAGUGAUGAAGGUCUUCGGAUCGUAAAGCUCUGUUGCCCUAGACGAACAGCAAGGAGAGUAACUGCUCUUUGUGUGACGGUAUAGGAGAAGAAAGCCCCGGCUGACUACGUGCCAGCCGCCGCCGUAA